AGAUGUACCCCAAUGCAGCCAAUGGCUUGUGGCUAUACGGAAUGAUGCGGUGACCAAGAUUAUCAGAGUGAUUUUCAGGCUGAAUUGAUGGGAAAUCCAUUUUGACGACAGCUGAGAAGUGAUCCGAUACCAUCGAUUUCUUUCCUUCACAAAAAAAUGUGGUACAGAAUCCAAUUACACCAACAUGCGCUUCCAACCCCACAAGGUGAAGAUUUUCUCUUUGUAAAACUCAGGUUAUCUGGAGUCAUUCCACAGCGCCCUGCUGAAAAAUACCCCGACAGGGCAGCAUUUUGGGUACACAAAAUGCUGUUAUGGAGGUUAUGGAGCACAGCAAGAUUGUGGUACAGAAACCAGCAGGGACACUGAAAGGAGACGUGCAGUACCAGCAAAUCUUCUGCAAGAGGACCAAACAGUUGUUGGUUAAGAAGCCCAACACCAUUUUUGGCAGAGUCUUAUCCAGCUGGCCGUUCACCUCAGGCAGGACAAGACCAUUCACCAUAAGCAAAAAUAAUCUUAGCUUCACCAGCCCACCAUGCGGAACACCAUUGCCAGUGUACCGAAGCCGGAUAAUGGACUAUGGCUGCAUUUACAUAGGCAGACCAAUUCUGGUCUUUAUUUUUUUUGACAAAUUGGUCUUUUGACCAAUCAGAUCAGUUCUGGAAAAGAUCAGAUGUGAUUAAGACCAAUUAAUGGAAAAAAUAUCAGAAUUGGGCUGCCUGUUUAAACAAAGCCAGUGUGGCUCAGCAUAAGACCAUGUCG
rnacentral:lncRNA from 1 species